rnacentral:rRNA from 1 species
UACGGAGGGGGCAAGCGUUGUUCGGAAUUACUGGGCGUAAAGGGCGCGUAGGCGGCCUGUUAAGUCGGACGUGAAAUCCCCGGGCUCAACCCGGGAACUGCGUCCGAUACUGGCAGGCUUGAAUCCGGGAGAGGGAUGCGGAAUUCCAGGUGUAGCGGUGAAAUGCGUAGAUAUCUGGAGGAACACCGGUGGCGAAGGCGGCAUCCUGGACCGGCAUUGACGCUGAGGCGCGAAAGCCAGGGGAGCAAACGGG